CUUCACAUUCAGUUUAAACGUUGUUCCUUUACAGAGGCUUCCAGAGAAAUGGGUGCUGCCUAUAAUUCCCCAUCUUAGCCCCCAUUUUCUUCAAAACUCUGCACCCUUUGUCUGACCUCCGGUGUGACCCUGUUCACCUGCUUAGUUUUUAUCUCACAUUAGAAUUGAAGUUUGGCUGGGGCUGGGCAGUGGUUGUCCUGUCCAAUCCACGUCUAUGGCACCUCACAAGGAUCAUUUUGAGACUCUGACGAAAGCUAAGAACUUCCUAGAGAAAUGCGCACACAUUUCUAGAUGUAACAGCAGCAGUGUCGUGGCUCUCCCGGGCAGUGACCACGUGAAGAACCACCACCACCCUGGAAGGUCUUUUCCAGCAAGACUGAAGACGGGCUGGGUACAGAAAUUGUUUUGCUCAGAGAAACUGUAAACUACCUAAGGUGGAAAGAACUUCAUUUUUUCUUUCUUUUUUUUUUUUUGACAGAGUCUCGCUCUGUCGCCCAGGAUGGAGUGCAGUGGCGCGAUCUCGGCUCACUACAAGCUCCGCCUCCCGGGUUCGCACCAUUCUCCGGCCUCAGCCUUCCGAGUAGCUGGGACUACAGGCGCCCGCCACCACGCCCGGCUAAUUUUUUGUAUUUUUAGAAGAGGUGGGGUUUCACCGUGUUAGACAGGAUGGUCUCGAUCUGCUGACCUCGUGAUCCACCUGCCUCGGCCUCCCGAAGUGCUGGGAUUACAGGCGUGAGCCACUGCGCCCAGCCAAGAACUUCAUUUUCUAGAGCAGAAGCCAGAGUGACAGAAAACACAUUUUUCCAUUUUUAGGGGAGGGCCCUUUGGCUGCUCAUGGAGAUGGUCAGAGGUACAGGAGGGACUUUGGCCGGUGUGCACUGAGGUGGUAACUGGGACACUAAGAACUGUGUGACCUACUCAGCGUGGAAAGGUACCAGGAAGGCUCCACAGGCCGCAGCGUCUCAGGGACAGCUGCCGUGAGAGGACCCCAUGACCCCACUGCAGCUGCUGUGGGCUGGAUCAUCAGUUCACCUGGAUCACCGGACCCAAGGGAUGAAGAAAACGGUGCAGAGAGGUCCUGGUGUCCCCAGACUGGCUGAUAGCAGGUCACUGUUUUUUUGUUGUUGUUGUUGUCGUUGUUGUUGUGUUAUUAUUAAUUUUUAUUUUUUUGAGAUGGAGUCUCGCUCUCAUUGUCCAGGCUGGAGUGCAAUGGCGCGAUCUGGGCUCACUGCAACCUCUGCCUCCCGGCUUCAAGCAAUUCUCCUGCCUCAGCAUCCCAAAUAGCUGGGACUACAGGUACCCACCACCACGCCUGGCUAAUUUUUGUAUUUUUAGUAGAGACAGGGUUUCACCAUGUUGGCCAGGCUGGUCUCAAACUCAGGUGAUCUGCCCACCUUGGUCUCCCAAAGUGCUGGGGUUACAGGUAAGCAGGUCACUGUUAAGAGU
rnacentral:lncRNA from 1 species